rnacentral:rRNA from 1 species
GACAGAGGUGGCAAGCGUUGUUCGGAAUUACUGGGCUUAAAGGGCGCGUAGGCGUUCCAAUAAGUCAGAUGUGGAAUCCUUAGGCUUAACCUAAGAAUUGCAUUUGAAACUGUUGGGAUUGAGUAAGGCUGGGGAGGGCAGAAUUCCUGGUGUAGCGGUGAAAUGCGUAGAUAUCAGGAGGAAGGCCAGUGGCGAAGGUGGCCCUCUAGGCCUUAACUGACGCUGAGGCGCGAAAGCGUGGGUAG